rnacentral:rRNA from 1 species
UACAGAGACUGCAAGCGUUAUUCGGAUUCACUGGGCGUAAAGGGUGCGCAGGCGGCCGUGUGUGUGAGGCGUGAAAGCCCGGGGCUCAACCCCGGAAUUGCACCUCAAACUACAUGGCUAGAGCAUUGGAGAGGGGAGCGGAAUUCACGGUGUAGCAGUGAAAUGCGUAGAUAUCGUGAGGAACACCAGAGGCGAAGGCGGCUUCCUGGACAAUUGCUGACGCUCAGGCACGAAAGCGUGGGGAGCAAAAGGG